AAACAUAAAAAAGGAUAAAACUUUAAGUCCUACCCGCACUUUUUCACUUUAAUACUCAAUGAUUUAAAAUAUAUCAAUUUAGUACCUUAUAAUUUUAUUUUUUUCUUUUCGUCAGUUCUUUCGUUAAUAUUUCUUUUAAUUAUAUAUAAAAAAAAUCUUUCAGAUAUCCCAUAUAGAUUUAUCGAAUAUUCACUUUAAUAUCUUUUAGUUUUAACUUUGUUCCUAAUUUAAUGAAAAAAUUAAUAAAAGGGAUAAUAAAGAGAGAAAAAUAAAAUCACGGGACACUAAAUUGAUACAUUUAAACUAUAGAGUACUAAAAUAAAAAAGUGCGAAAUUACGGAGUGAUAUUUGAAGUUUUUUCUAAAAAAAAAAGACUUUUUACGCAUAGUUUGGUUUCUG
rnacentral:lncRNA from 1 species